UCAAUGACCGCAAGAAGAAACAGAGCGUGACAGGGGCUGAAUUGCAUUGCCAAAAAGGGCAGGCUUGUCACAUGCUUAUCAGGCUGCCUCCACCGCAAAGCCUGACCAAUGACACAAGACAACAGUGGCCCACAGCUUGUGGAACACUUUCCUAAGGAGAGUCAGGACUUCUAAGAUAUCAGCCUAAAAUGCAGAGUUUGCCUGAAAAGAGAAAAACUCUAUCAGCUUUGAGUCAACAUGGUAACAGUUCUUCUACAUGACAGCCGUAACAAAGCAUUGCUAUCCUGGGUGUGUGCUGGGAUAAAGAUGGGGGCACGCUGACCCACCCCAAGCCUGCACAAGGCUAGAGUGGGAACCGCUAGGACCAGCAUUGGCAGUUGAGACAAUUGGAGUCCUUCCCUGGGAUUGUUUAAACUGCCAUCUGGAGCUGAUGGACAAAGAGGUCCGAGAUGAGGGAAAAACACAGAUCGCAAAAGAAACCUAAGGUCAACUGCUGGAAUAACAUUUCUCAUAGCAAUGUCCAAGCAAGUUGAUCUGAUACCAGCGCAUCUAGAGGGCUGGCUCUACGAGAAGCUGAAAUGACAAAGAAUAAGUGACUUAAAAACUGGAGAUUUAAUUUCAAGGUAGGAAUCAUAAACUUGGUAUUGUCUGUUUUUACCAAACUUCAUAUAUGCAAAUUUUACAUACGUAUGGUUUUUCUUUAAACCUGUCAUCCAGUUCUAAGGGUCAAUUCCAAGGAGACACAACUAAAUUGCAGUAAUGAGAGAAGUACUGAUUUGUAGUCUGAUCAUUCAAGAAUAACUAACUUCAGGGGUGCCUGGAUUACGCAGUCAGUUAAGCAUCCCACUCUUGAUCCUGGUUCAGGUCAUGAUCUCAUGGUUCAUAAGAUCUAGUGCCGCGUUGGUCUCUACACUGACAUUGUGGAACCUGCUUGGGAUUUUCCCUCCCUCUACUGCCCCCCUCAUUCUCCCUCAAAAUAAAAAAAUAAACUUAAAAAAAAAAAACCUUUAGAAACUACUAAAUUUAACGAAAAAAAAUGCCAUUUUUAUAGAUCAAAGAUGGUCAAAUAUCAGAAAUUUCACUGACUCAAACUGACAUCUGAAAAAAUGUACCUUAUGUACUCUUGCGUACCUGUAAGGAAAGCCACAGAGAAAAUGCUUUGGUCUAGGAGACCCAAGCCUCUACCUAAACUAUAGCAGAGGACACAUAUGCAGUAUGUUGAGGUAAGCCACUAUCUAGGUAACAGUACAACUAUUAAACAAUCUUAUAAAAAGCUUUCUAGAUACUCUGAAUCACCUUAUACAAGGUAUCAGAGAAAUUAAUAUGAAUUUCACUAGACAACAUGCAGCAGCUGAGUCCAAAUCGCUUACCCAUGUCUGGCAAGUGGCUGGUUUUGAGGCAAGUAAACAAAAUGCUGUAGAGGGCAUGCAAGCUAAGCUUGUCUGAGGCAGUUCACCUAAGAAUAGAUUUUUCAACUUGAAUCAAAAUUUCUGUGAUUUGAUGGGAAUUUCAAUCUAAGCAAUUAAGUGAUAGCAAGGAAAGAGCACCCCAAUAUUCGUUGCUCGGUAAAUAAUGGCUUAAAGGGAAAAAAAUAAUUGAAAUAAACAAUUUUUACUUAAAAAAAAAAACAAACACAACAAACCCUACCUUCAAUGUUUAAAAGAAUUACAAAAAAACCAAAACCCCAGGACACAAAACUGCACUUUGACACGUGAACAUGUACUCAUUACAUGUGAGCCAAAUAAACUUAUUUGCCUCAACCCUCAUUUCCAAGACUUCCCACCUUUAAUUAAUUAACGUGUUUUCAUUAUACAUUCCACAAUGAAAAUAGGUUUUGCAGUUCCUGGAACUUCACUUACGUCACUAAUUUGGUGUACUUUAAAAUCCCUCUAAUUAUGCAAGCCUAUAAAGUAAGUCACACUUUCAGACAUGAACACAGGUAAUACAAAAUACCAGAAUUAGCAGAAGCAUCAAAGCACACAGACACGCACACACACUGCUACUAUGAAGUGAGCACUACAUCAGGGAUACUCAAUGGGUAAGGCCUUUUCCAGACCACUUCCAAUUCCUAAUCUCAACUCUUCAAGAGAGU